rnacentral:tRNA from 1 species
AGCCUUGAGGUGUUAUACAUACCAGAUUGCAAAUCUGAAGAUGCAGAUUAGUCGUCUGCCGGGGCUU